GUAUGAUAUGGAAAGGCCAACAAUGUAAUAAAGAUAUAGUUAAUGCUUUAACUGACAAAACCUUAGGGCUUACUUUAAGAAUAGAGCAAGAGAAUAAUAAGUUCUUUCAUUUCUUAGAUGUGAGUGUUGAAGUUGAGAAUGGAGAAUAUGUUAUGUAUAUAUACAGGAAGCCUUCGUAUGCACCAGUAAUUAUCCUGGCAUGCUUCACAGAAUUAUAUGGUAUAUAAAUUAGCUGCAUUUAGAGCUAUGAUAAAUAGAGCUUUUACCCAUAUAAUGAAAUGGAGGGAUAGGGAAGGUGAAUUAACAUAUAUCUUUGAACAAGGUUAUAAAUAUGGAUAUAGAAGGAAAGCAAUAGAAGACCUUAUAAAGAAGAUUAGCAAACACAUUGAAAACAAUAUGAAUACAAAAUCUCAAUGCUAAUAAUUUAGAUAAGACUAAAUAAAAACAGUCAUAAGCAGCACUAACAGCAAG
rnacentral:lncRNA from 1 species